CGUAAGGGAACCUGCGGAAGGAUCAUUA
rnacentral:rRNA from 1 species